GGGGAUCUGGCUCAGUGGUAGAGCACUUGCCUAGCAAGCACAAGGUCCUGGGUUCGGUCCCCAGCUCCA
rnacentral:tRNA from 1 species